CUACGGGUUGCUCCAGUGGGGAAUAUUGCACAAUGGAGGAAACUCUGAUGCAGCAACGCCGCGUGGAGGAUGACACUUUUCGGAGCGUAAACUCCUUUUAUAUAGGAAGAAGAUGACGGUACUAUAUGAAUAAGCGCCGGCUAACUCCGUGCCAGCAGCCGCGGUAAUACGGAGGGCGCAAGCGUUACUCGGAAUCACUGGGCGUAAAGAGCGUGUAGGCGGAUUAAAAAGUCAGAAGUGAAAUCCUAUAGCUUAAAUAUAGAACUGCUUCUGAAACUCUUAAUCUAGAAAAUGGGAGAGGUAGAUGGAAUUUCUGGUGUAGGGGUAAAAUCCGUAGAGAUCAGAAGGAAUACCGAUUGCGAAGGCGAUCUACUAGAACAUUAUUGACGCUGAGACGCGAAAGCGUGGGGAGCAAACAGGAUUAGAUACCCCUGUAGUC
rnacentral:rRNA from 1 species